UACGGGGGGAGCAAGCGUUGUUCGGAUUUACUGGGCGUAAAGCGCACGCAGGCGGCUUGGUAAGUCAUCGGUGAAAUCCCCCGGCUCAACCGGGGGGGGUCCGGCGAAACUGCCAGGCUUGAGGUCGGGAGGGGGAAGCGGAAUUCCGGGUGUAGUGGUGGAAUGCGCAGAUAUCAGGAGGAACACCAACGGCGAAGGCAGCUCGCUAGGACGGUACUGACGCUGAGGCGCGAAAGCGUGGGGAGCGAACAGG
rnacentral:rRNA from 1 species